UCAGUUAUCGUUUAUUUGAUAGUACCUUACUACAUGGAUACCUGUGGUAAUUCUAGAGCUAAUACAUGCUAAAAACCCCGACUUCGGGAGGGGUGUAUUUAUUAGAUAAAAAACCAAUGCCCCUCGGGGCUCCUUGGUGAAUCAUAAUAACUUAACGAAUCGCAUGGCCUUGCGCCGGCGAUGGUUCAUUCAAAUUUCUGCCCUAUCAACUUUCGAUGGUAGGAUAGUGGCCUACCAUGGUGGCAACGGGUAACGGGGAAUUAGGGUUCGAUUCCGGAGAGGGAGCCUGAGAAACGGCUACCACAUCCAAGGAAGGCAGCAGGCGCGCAAAUUACCCAAUCCCGACACGGGGAGGUAGUGACAAUAAAUACUGAUACGGGGCUCUUUUGGGUCUCGUAAUUGGAAUGAGUACAAUCUAAAUCCCUUAACGAGGAACAAUUGGAGGGCAAGUCUGGUGCCAGCAGCCGCGGUAAUUCCAGCUCCAAUAGCGUAUAUUAAAGUUGUUGCAGUUAAAAAGCUCGUAGUUGAACCUUGGGUCUGGCUGGCCGGUCCGCCUCACCGCGAGUACUGGUCCGGCUGGACCUUUCCUUCUGGGGAAUCCCAUGGCCUUCACUGGCUGUGGGUGGAACCAGGACUUUUACUGUGAAAAAAUUAGAGUGUUCAAAGCAGGCCUUUGCUCGGAUACAUUAGCAUGGAAUAAUAGAAUAGGACGUGCGGUUCUAUUUUGUUGGUUUCUAGGACCGCCGUAAUGAUUAAUAGGGAUAGUCGGGGGCGUCAGUAUUCAGCUGUCAGAGGUGAAAUUCUUGGAUUUGCUGAAGACUAACUACUGCGAAAGCAUUCGCCAAGGAUGUUUUCAUUAAUCAGGGAACGAAAGUUAGGGGAUCGAAGACGAUCAGAUACCGUCGUAGUCUUAACCAUAAACUAUGCCGACUAGGGAUCGGGCGGCGUUUCUAUG
rnacentral:rRNA from 1 species